rnacentral:lncRNA from 1 species
GAACAUGUUUUCACAAAAUUUUCCUUCAAAUAUGACUUUAUAGCCUUUUCUUCAUUAAGGUUUCUUUCGGGAGAAAAGAUGAGAACAAAAGCUCUCUUUGUUCUCUAAGAGGCUGGCCACCCUAGAGGAACAUAGCUAGCAAUCUUACUUCCUCUAGGUCACUCAUUUCUUCAUCAAUCCUUCCUUGGUGUGGAGACUUAGAGGUUCUCAACUUUGAGAAUUUGGAGAAACCAAUUCUUCCAUCCAAAUCCAUGGAGCUAAGAAGCAAGGAAUGAAGGCCCUAUCUCUUGGGUGAUUAUCCUUUGCUUAUGCAAAGACGAAUCAACAAAGGUAUAAAUUUCUCAACUCACUUUGUUUUGAGUUGAGUCUUGGUUCACCUAACUACUAGGCUUUGAAUUUCAUGGGUAAUGUUUUGUUUUGAGUGCAUGCAAGCAUGAUUCCGCCUUUAAUUUGUUAAUUGCAUGCUAUAGAUGUUGCUCAAAUGAACAUGUUUUUCACAAAAUUUCCUUCAUGGGGGGUAAUGGCUAACAAAGAAAGGUUAGGAAUAACAAACGUUCUUAAAGCGAUAGCAAGCAAAGCAAUGAAAUAGACACUUGGAAUUCUCUUUAGAAUGUAGAUUCAACUUUUACAUACAAAUGGAAGAUUCAUGCAACACUUAGGGCCGAAUUCAAUGUUUUGGUCCCUUUUUUAACAAACAACACUUUAGAGCUCUUGCUCAUACUUUUUUUUCUUUUCUCUACCUGUGCCUUAUUAAGGACUUUAGCACACACACACACAAUAAUCACUUCCCCCACACUUGUUUUUCUGCAGGAGUUCAACAAAAGGAAAUCCUUCUAAAUUAUGCUUUACUGCUUCAAGAACAAGGGUAUGGAUGGUCCUAUUCUAGGCUAGGUGAGGCUAGUGUGGGUAACAAAGAACAUAGGCUACACAAGGCUCAACUGGGUUAAACUUAAACACAUAAUGAACGGGAUAGGCUUUUUGGCUCUUGGCUCACUAAACAACUUCAUCUUGAAUAUGUGUUAUGCAAAUCAAUAACAUGCUUUGAAUGAAAUAGGCAUAAGUUCUAGUAUUUGGAACUAAAUGAUGAAACGCAUUCUAAAUAGCAACCAAGCAAAGAAUAAUGAGAUCAUGCAACGACUUUAGAAAACAAUGAUGCACAGAUUAUUAACUCUCCAAAUAAACGUUUAGGCUCAAGUCUCACAAGGUUGUAGCGUUCAUUUGAGUUUCUUCUUUCAAGCAUGUUACAAAAACUGAUUUUUUUCUUCUUUAUGAUUGCAUGUGAAUUCAUAAAAUCUAACCACAACCAAGCAUACACCAAAGAGUAAAUCAAAUUUUUUUCCAAGUUUAUAACUCUCUUUAAUAGUCAUGUAAUUAAAAACCAAAUCCUCAUCAUUGUGUUGGAAGGUACCCUAAGACACAAAUAAACAUACAAAAAAACACUCUUUUUGGGUUUUUCAAAACAAUUUUUCAAAUUUUUAUGAGAUUUUCGGAUUUUUAUAUCAAAACACACUAAAACACUCCAAAACAGCUUAAAAAAACACUUAAAACAGCAAGGAACAACACUAGAAGUAAUGGGUGAUAAACUCCUACGAAUUUCAUGCAAAACAACUUGGUUACCCCCCCACACUUAAAUCAAACAUUGUCCUCAAUGUUUCAAGCAUAAACUCACACAAAAACAAGCAAACAAACAAACAACGAAUAAACAUGACAAGUAUGGCAAUGUAAAAACCAGACUGAGUAGAGUUUAAGAACGCAAAUCUGGUUUUGGAGAUAGAUGAUCUUGUUGACUUUCCACAGUUGCAUUAUUCUCUACUUGUUUCUUCUGCACGGCAGGCAGGCACGAGGUAGAGGUGUUGGUCUGUUUCUUUCUUCAAUCUUUCCAAGUGCCCACCUUUUACUUUCUUUCUCUUUGUCCCUAGCUAAAGAUGAAUUGGCAAAUUGUCUCCACAUGCUUCGAGGUAUCAUUUUCACUUCCCUUAUCUGUUCCCUAGGCAGAUGUGGUAGACGAAGAGGAAGCAUAAAAUGAUGAAGAUGAGUACUCGAGAGCAAGGCUCGGUUAGCAAUCAGGAAGGGGUUCCAGGCAGUCGGUUCCAGAUCGGAAGAUUGAUAGCAAGUGCUGGCUGAUUGCUCUCUUUCUCCUUGUCCCAAAAUAACGACAAGGAGAAGGACAUGGAGAAAGCAUGAUAUGAGAUACUCUUGCUUUCAACCUUCAUGAUAUGAAAUACUUUUUCUUUGGAUGAGUCGUUUGCAGAGGUAAGGAAUAAGGAACACUGAGUGACUUGAGAGGGUUUGUUGGAAAGGCAUUCUCGGAGAAGAAGAAGGGUUAUGUAUAUCUGCCUUGCAAUGGAGGGUGAAGGGUGACAUUUAUAGGAAUUAAUAACCGGUACUAUUCUUUCACUCUUGUCAGCAACCGUUGGAUGAUUUAAUAGUGAACUUCACGUGCUUUCUACUUCACAAGAGAUCUUCGACAGAUUGCCCGUAAUUUUCACAAGGCUAAGUGUGCAUGUGACAGGCGCUGACACGUCUAGAAAAGCAAGUGCCUCUUCGAUAUCUGGAAUCGGCGCUUUGAAAAACUGCCCGUGAUUUCCGUAAAGCUGAGUUUACAUGUGACAGAUGCUGACACGUUUAGAAAAGCAGAUGCCUCUCCGAUUUCUGAGCUUGCCUCUUCGAGUUAUGAGUUCGCCUCUUCGAUCUCUGAAAUCCCGUCGAAUGCAGAGGUUGCAUGUGACAAGUGCGGAAAAAUCUAGAAAAUAAGAUUGGCCCGUGGUUUCUGAGCAAGCCCAGCUUUUGAGAAAGCUAGCGCCUCUUCAAUUUUUGAGUUGGCUUCUUUGAUUUCUGAGCACACCUCUUCGAUUUCUGAAGUCCCGUUGAGUGCUGAUUUUUAUAGAGACUCC